rnacentral:rRNA from 1 species
GAUGAACGCUGGCGGCGUGCCUAAUACAUGCAAGUCGAGCGAACAGACGAGGAGCUUGCUCCUCUGACGUUAGCGGCGGACGGGUGAGUAACACGUGGAUAACCUACCUAUAAGACUGGGAUAACUUCGGGAAACCGGAGCUAAUACCGGAUAAUAUAUUGAACCGCAUGGUUCAAUAGUGAAAGACGGUUUUGCUGUCACUUAUAGAUGGAUCCGCGCCGCAUUAGCUAGUUGGUAAGGUAACGGCUUACCAAGGCAACGAUGCGUAGCCGACCUGAGAGGGUGAUCCGCCCCACUUGAACUGAGACACGGUCCAGACUCCUACGGGAAGCAGCAGUAGGGAAUCUUCCCCAAUGGGCGAAAGCCUUGCGGAGCAACGCCGCGUUAGUGAUGAAGGUCUUCGGAUCGUAAAACUCUGUUAUUAGGGAAGAACAAAUGUGUAAGUAACUAUGCACGUCUUGACGGUACCUAAUCAGAAAGCCACGGCUAACUACGUG